rnacentral:rRNA from 1 species
AUUGAACGCUGGCGGCAGGCCUAACACAUGCAAGUCGAGCGGAUGAAGGGAGCUUGCUCCUGGAUUCAGCGGCGGACGGGUGAGUAAUGCCUAGAAAUCUGCCUGGUAGUGGGGGAUAACGUCCGGAAACGGGCGCUAAUACCGCAUACGUCCUGAGGGAGAAAGUGGGGAUCUUCGGACCUCACGCUAUCAGAUGAGCCUAGGUCGGAUUAGCUAGUUGGUGGGGUAAAGGCCUACCAGGGCGACGAUCCGUAACUGGUCUGAGAGGAUGAUCAGUCACACUGGAACUGAGACACGGUCCAGACUCCUACGGGAGGCAGCAGUGGGGAAUAUUGGACAAUGGGCGAAAGCCUGAUCCAGCCAUGCCGCGUGUGUGAAGAAGGUCUUCGGAUUGUAAAGCACUUUAAGUUGGGAGGAAGGGCAGUAAGUUAAUACCUUGCUGUUUUGACGUUACCAACAGAAUAAGCACCGGCUAACUUCGUG